GACGAACGCUGGCGGCGUGCUUAACACAUGCAAGUCGAACGGUAAGGCCCUUCGGGGUACACGAGUGGCGAACGGGUGAGUAACACGUGGGUGAUCUGCCCUGCACUUCGGGAUAAGCCUGGGAAACUGGGUCUAAUACCGGAUAGGACCCUGGGAUGCAUGUCCUGGGGUGGAAAGCUUUUGCGGUGUGGGAUGGGCCCGCGGCCUAUCAGCUUGUUGGUGGGGUGAUGGCCUACCAAGGCGACGACGGGUAGCCGGCCUGAGAGGGUGACCGGGCACACUGGGACUGAGAUACGGCCCAGACUCCGACGGGAGGCAGCAGUGGGGAAUAUUGCACAAUGGGCGCAAGCCUGAUGCAGCGACGCCGCGUGAGGGAUGACGGCCUUCGGGUUGUAACCUCUUUCAGCACCGACGAAGCGCAAGUGACGGUAGGUGCAGAAGAAGGACCGGCCAACUACGUGCCAGCCGCCGCGGUAA
rnacentral:rRNA from 1 species